rnacentral:rRNA from 1 species
GAUGAACGCUGGCGGCGUGCCUAACACAUGCAAGUCGAACGGAGUGUUGAGAGCUUGCUUUUAACACUUAGUGGCGGACGGGUGAGUAAUGUAUGAGCAACCUGCCUUUCAGAGGGGGACGAACAGUUGGAACGACUGCUAAUACCGCAUAAAGUAUUUAGGAGGCAUCUCUUGAAUACCAAGGAGCAAUCCGCUGAAGAUGGGCUCAUAUCUGAUUAGCUAGUUGGUGAGGUAACGGCUCACCAAGGCUGCGAUCAGUAGCCGGACUGAGAGGUUGAACGGCCACAUUGGGACUGAGAUACGGCCCAGACUCCUACGGGAGGCAGCAGUGGGGGAAUAUUGGGGCAAUGGGCGAAAGCCUGACCCAG